rnacentral:rRNA from 1 species
UGGGGAAUAUUGGACAAUGGGCGCAAGCCUGAUCCAGCAAUGCCGCGUGAGUGAUGAAGGCCCUAGGGUUGUAAAGCUCUUUUUACCCGGGAAGAUAAUGACUGUACCGGGAGAAUAAGCCCCGGGCUAACUCCGUGCCAGCAGCCGCGGUAAUACGGAGGGGGCUAGCGUUGUUCGGAAUUACUGGGCGUAAAGCGCACGUAGGCGGCCUUGUAAGUCAGAGGUGAAAGCCUGGAGCUCAACUCCAGAACUGCCUUUGAGACUGCAUCGCUUGAAUCCAGGAGAGGUCAGUGGAAUUCCGAGUGUAGAGGUGAAAUUCGUAGAUAUUCGGAAGAGCACCAGUGGCGAAGGCGGCUGACUGGACUGGUAUUGACGCUGAGGUGCGAAAGCGUGGGGAGCAAACAGGAUUAGAUACCCGUGGUAGUCCACGCCGUAAACGAUGAU